UAAAUGCAGAUGAUUCCCCAUGGGAGGAAAUA
rnacentral:piRNA from 1 species